rnacentral:rRNA from 1 species
GAAUUCGAUUCGGUGUGACAAGGCCCGGGAACGUAUUCAACGCAGCGUAGCUGAUCUGCGUUUACUAGCGAUUCCGACUUCAUGAAGGCGAGUUGCAGCCUUCAAUCCGAACUGAGCGCGCGUUUAUGAGAUUGGCUUGCCCUCGCGGGUUCGCAGCUCGUUGUCGCGCGCAUUGUAGCACGUGUGUAGCCCUGGACGUAAGGGCCAUGCUGACUUGACGUCAUCCCCACCUUCCUCCGGCUUCUCACCGGCGGUCUCGUGUGAGAGAUCUUGUGGACCAACACACGACAAGGGUUGCGCUCGUUGCGGGACUUAACCCAACACCUCACGGCACGAGCUGACGACAGCCAUGCAGCACCUGUGUUGCGGCCGGGUUGCCCCGGAGCCUACUUUCGUAGGAUUUCCGCACAUGUCAAGCCCAGGUAAGGUUCUUCGCGUUAAUCACUA